GAUGAACGCUGGCGACGUGCUUAACACAUGCAAGUCGAACGAGAAGUGAAGACGGAAACCUUCGGGCGGAAGGCUUUAUUUCGAGUGGCGGACGGGUGAGUAACGCGUGGGUAACCUGCCUCAUACAGGGGGAUAACAGUUGGAAACGACUGUUAAUACCGCAUAAGACCACAGCACCGCAUGGUGCGGGGGUAAAAACUCCGGUGGUAUGAGAUGGACCCGCGUUCGAUUAGCCAGUUGGCGGGGUAACGGCCCACCAAAGCGACGAUCGAUAGCCGAUCUGAGAGGAUGACCGGCCACAUUGGGACUGAGACACGGCCCAAACUCCUACGGGAGGCAGCAGUGGGGAAUAUUGCACAAUGGGGGAAACCCUGAUGCAGCGACGCCGCGUGAGUGAAGAAGUAUUUCGGUAUGUAAAGCUCUAUCAGCAGGGAAGAAAAUGACGGUACCUGAGUAAGAAGCCCCGGCUAACUACGUG
rnacentral:rRNA from 1 species